CUUCUCAAAUUUUUUUAGUGAUAUAAAGAUAUAUAUUUAGUUUCAAUCAAUAGUGCCGCAGACUCAGGAGUUGUCCCAUCCCACAUCUCUUUCCACUCCACCAACCUCUCCAAUCUUGCAUCCACAAUCCCCACCACCACCAUCACCAAUAAUGCCUCAACCACCAUCCCCGCCACCAUCAAAACCCACUCCCCCACCAUCACCUAAACCCCAGGCUUCACCACCAUCACCUAAACCCCAUGCUUCAACACCGCAAUCUUCCACACCACCGGCACCCAAAAAUGAUGAUAAGAUACCACCGCAACCAAAUAAAACAAAAUUCUCGGUCCCCAAAUUGGUUUCCCUGAACGAGCCAAAGAAGAAGGCCGCUGGUACGACCCUAUUUUUGUCCGGAAUUGCAAGGAGCCGCACUUCAAAACUUGUUGACUUGGCAGAGCAUGAGAAGGAGGGGACGAAAAGCUUUGAAACACGUAUUGUCAAUAUCAGGCCACCAACAAAGGAUGAUUACAAAUUUGUCCCUACUAAAUAUGAGCCAGGCAGACCACUACUUAGUUGGGACAAACUCAAAAAGAUCCCAGCUGGUAUAAAAAGGAUGCAUGACUGGUAUAUGAGAGCAACUUCUGUAGGCAUUGACACGAUCAAUGUGAUUAUACCACCAAAAGCAUUCAACAAUGAGCGUACAAAGGCAAUCGUUACCUUCGAUGACAUGUGGACGUGCAGCUGGUAACCGUGUUUGCAUUAAUGAAUUUUGAACAACAAGAGAUGCGGUACGGUUCGGAUCCGGAUAGGUCUGCUAGUAAAAGUGUUGCGUAUGUGAUCCCGAUGAAGAUAUGUGAGGAGCGGCACAACUUUAGAAUCAAAGACAAACACGACUCCUUACAAGGUUUAGAUCCCGCUGAGCGUAAGAAGAUAAUAGAUGAAAAUCGACUAGAUUAUGAAUGUAAGUACGACUUCUACAUAGCCUUGGCACUGCUCAAGUAUCAAGAUUGAGAAUGUGUUGUUGCCCCAUACAACUUUGGGGACCACUGGAUCUGCCUCCUCAUUAAUCCUAGUGUAGGACGUGUGCUAGUCCUAUACUCUGCAGACUAUGAUCCUUCAAGUUAUGCAAAAUUCAUUAUACAUUUGGAACGGGCCUAUAGGUAUUAUAAGAUCAAAGGUGGAAGGUGCGGUUCAUCAGAACCAGGGCAGCCAUUGAGAUUAUUUUAUAAAUGGCCGUGCCAUAAGCAACCAGUCGGAUCGGUCCACCGUGGAUUCUACGUCUACGAGUUUAUGAGAGAGACCGGAAGAUAUGUAACUAACCCUUCUAAGACGAAGAGCGUGACUCAAGUUGUUCUAUACAACAUAGUUGAGGACCUCUACACUUUUCUCUUGAGAGAAGCUAUUCCCACCGAAGGGAAAUAUCACGACCCG